AAGAGAUUUGUUUUCAGAGUUCAGGAGUCGAGAAAUCAGAGGAGAGGCAGGGAAACAUUGAAUUGAGUUUACAAGUUAAGGACGGAGGGAUUGAUUCGGGCUUAGAGAGAGAUUGGUUACGGAGAUCUGCGCCUGCGCGUUGACAGAGAGUUGGCCAUGUUAUUUACUGUUCAUUGUUUUUGAUGCUUGCUCGUCGGAGUAAAUCGGAAUACUGCAAAUGAAAACCAAUGGCCGAGUUGGAUCGUCGAUCCAAUGGUAAAAAAAUAUAUAAAAAACGCUCGCAUUUUGAGUCAC
rnacentral:lncRNA from 1 species